AGCUGAUUUAAAGAUAAUGCAAGAAGGACAGCAAAAUGCCUCUUGUUUGAGCAACAACGCAGCAUCACCUUUGCUCCUAACGAUGACUUGGCCUGGAGGCUGUGCAGCAAGUCACUAUAAAUGACAGUGGUGAAGCAUGAGAGAAGUGGAAAAUGAGGCAAAACCAGUUUCCACUGAAAACUCACCACCCUGUGCAUGUCCUUCACGGGGAAAGCAACCAGCUAAAGGAAAUUAAAGGAAUGCGACUUCCAAGAUACCAGCCCUGCAAUCAAACUCCUGGGUGUUCGCACGCGAGCAUGAAACAUCAGCGGGACGCUGAGCUCAGGGAUGGGAGAGGCAGAAGGAGGACGUGCGUGUGAACGCAGCGCUAUUUGGGUACGCCACGGAUGGAGCAGGACCUAAGCGAGACCUUGUCUCGAGAUGGAAAAAUGGCAUUUUCUCCACUGAAGUUUACAAGCAGAGCUUUAAGCAAAAGCCAGGAUGGGGACAGGACCCUUUGCUGCAGCGGGGAUCCCUCCUGCUGCCCGUGGCACCGCUCGGGCUCUGUCCCCAGCUCCCCGCGGGGUGCAGCCAUCCCAGCCUCCGGGAUGCUCGCGGGGAUUAGCUGCGCUGUGCUCCCUCAGCCCAUCACGUGCGUCCAGGAGUUUUAAUUGUUGCCUUUAAGAUAAUUACAGGCUGGAGGCGGCGAGCAGGAAGAGCCCCGUGGAUUCGCACCAGGGCUUGAGCGCACUGUUGUGCACGGUACAGGAGAUUUGCCCCGGAGCAAGUGGGGUACCCCAGGGAGAGCACCCCCCAGCCUGGGUGCAGGGUUAAAUCCCUUUGCAGGUUCGUCCCCGAGCCAAGCUGUCACUUCCCAGCCCAUCGACUGGUCAGGGUGGGCAGCUGCAAGGGGCACCUUCGCUCAGACCCUGCACUCCCAGUGAGGUGAACCAUACAAUUUUUAUUUUUUAAGGAAAUUAUGGUUAAUCCUGGUCCAUUUCUGCCUAUCCAUCCUCCAUGGCCGGAGAAACCCUCUCCCUGAUUUUUAAGGGAGGCAACCUGCUUGUUUUUGAGAUCUCCAGCCAGUGUGAAACCCAGCAAGGGGCUCUUGUCCUCGCAUUUGUAGUAGACUCUGUGUUUUAAAAUAAAGGUGAGAUUUCAGCCAAAGACAAGAACUUGCUCUCCUUCAGGCUGCUGAUUGCAGGGAGCCUCGUGGCACCGUUCGGGAGGGUCAGGCUGCCUGCAGACAUUGAGCCCUGCAGUUAAGGCAAUGGUAACAGGGCUCUGCACACUGAGGAUGCGAUUUUGUUUAGUAUUUAGCCCAUCAAAAUCCUUAAAAGAGCACUUCCUUAAACUGCCUCCCUUUUCCCACCCUAGCUCCUAUCCUGGGAAUAAACCCAGCAGGAAAACAGGGAAAUGGCUCCAACCUGAAAACAGCCUGGAGGAGAGCUGGCCCCUGGGUACGGGGACAGGAUUCAGGACCCCGGGGUGAGCUUUGGGGACACGUUUGGCACUUGCAGAGCUACAUCUUUGGGCACGGUGUUGGACCUAAAACCCACCCAGAGCCAAAUCCGGGCAAUCUGAGGGGCUCCCGAAGGAAGGGCCAUUCACUGCCCACCGUCCCUGCCAUGGGACGCGUUGGCAGAGGGGUGACACGGUCACCUAUCGCUGUGUUACCUCCCACCCCUGCUGCUCUCACGGACACCCGUAUUUCUGCAAACGUUUGUUUUGCAGCUCCAGUAAUGACGUGCUUGCUCCCUGAGACAAAAUUGCUGGGCCUGGCGUUAUCUAACAAACUCGUUUUGGCACAAGCGCCUCCGUACCAGCCUUUUCUGCCCAUUCCCGGGAUUAUCAGCCAUCUCUGCAGCCAGCCCCAGCCCUCGUCUCUCAUUCCUAGUUAAUUGGUGUGAAAUUGGAGCAAGUUCUCAGGUGAUAAUGUGUUUGCAUUUACUGCUUCACUGAACCACCCUCGCCACUCAAUCCCAGCUUCAUUAAAGCCUCAAGCGGAGCUUUUGCUCCUGGCUGUGAGCUUCAAACCCUAUUUCCUGCGUGGCAGACACACAGCCUAACACAUGUCAGGCCGACAGCUUGAGCGGAGCUGCCGAUAACGAGCAGGAUCCGGCCCUGGGCACUGCUCCGGGAAGAUCAGCCUCGAGUCGGAGCGAUGCUCCGAGUCCCCACCAUGGCUUUCCGCAAGGCUUCGCGCCGCGCCGGUUGGCUCCCGCGCUUGGGAAGGCAUAUUUUGUGCCCUUUAAUUAUCUUUGAUUAAUGAAUGAAUUAAUUUCUUUUUUUUUUUUUUUUUUUUUUCCUGCAGUGCUUUGAAGAUAAAAAGCGUUCACCUGAAUUCCAUGAUUAGUAUUUAAAGACUCAAACGAAAUAUUUGUAGGCAGAGAAACCUAACCAAGGAAUGCCUGUGUUCAGACACUCAAUGGGGCCCAUUCACAGGGACGGAUUCCACGGUUAUUAUUAGCAAUAGGGUUAUCUUUGGCAUCAUCUUUUUAUGCACAACAUGCUAUUGGAUUCCACCCUCCUGUUUCGUGCGGGCCUCGGGGCAGGAGGCAUACAAAUUAGAGCGGGUUCAAGCCUUGCAAGUGUUUUUCUUGCAACCAGGGUUGAAGUUUGGCGAGAUCCACUGCGGUUAUAUUUAGGAUCAUUUGGGAGGGUUUUGGUGCAAGUCGGGCACCCUGGGAUGCUCACAGCCUGGGGGGAGAAGUGCAUGGCUGGGGGAACGUCAGGUUUGCCAGAAAACCCUUUUAUCUCAGCUGACAAGUGACAGAAGGUGGAAAAAUGGUCUCAGCUUGUGCCAGAGGUGGCUCUGAGCAUCCCCUUGGUGUGUGAGGCUUCACAGGUCCAUCCAUGGCUCUGGGCUCUGACAGGUCUGGACACAGCAGGGAUGGGGAUGCCCGGAGGCACGCGUUGGGGAGCCAGGGCUCUGCUAGCACAAGCAUCUUUGUGCCAGGCUGGAUGUGCCAAGGGGUCCCGCCUGUCCCCAGCCCCACAGAGCCCGGCACAGGGAUGCUGGGGAUGGCUCGAUCUGGCCUGAGAGCAGCUGCUGCUUAAUUUGAUUGCAUUUCUUGCUGCUGGGGAGCUGAAGGUAGGAAUUGGGGUUGUGGUGGUGGUUUUGUGUUGCUUUUUUUUUUUUUCUAUUUUUUUUUAAUGAGUGGUGGGUGUGAUUUUCAAACGCGCUCCCCUCCGGCACGUCUCCGCCAGCGAGCGCCCUGCGAUGCCCACAGCCACCUCCCUUUACGUCCCGCCCUGUCCUUCUCCCCAAAUCCAGCCACGGGUGGGAGGAGGCGAAGCCAGAUUCCGUUCAAGUCCCUCAUCCCCCAUAGCUCAGGCUCCCUGCAGCACCCCAGCCCUGUCGGCCACCCCAAAACCCUCCCCCAAAAUCCCAGCACUCAUCGUCCUCGCUGCGGGCAGAGCCGAAACGCAUCGAGGCGCAUCGAAGGCUGGCCGGCGUGGCUUUCAAACGGCGCGGCGAUCCCCUGUAGCCUAGUUUUUAGGGAAAGCAUUUCAUAGCUGGUUUUUCUCUUUGUGACUAAACGCGGUUAUUAGGCCCUGAGUGCAUCAUUAAACCUGUUAUUAAAAGUAAAUGCGCUAAGCAGAAUAGACCGGUGCGCAGCAAGCUCGUCCAGGACGCUGGACCCUCUGGAAAAGUCAUUACCAUUUGUAUUCAAAGUGAACCUAGUUAAGAACAUAUUGGACUAAUUCAGGGCCUUAGAGCUACUAAAAUGACUGCCAUUAAAAAUAAAUAUGUUAGGCAGAAUGUGCUGCAUAAUUAGGAUUAUUACAGUGUUUACUCUGAU